AACGGUCCAGCAUCGACGACCAUCACUGCUGAAUCGAGGCUGUUGCUCUGGCCUGGACCAGUAUCUAUUUCAGUCCCGAUGUAGUCAUAGCUGAUACAGUAAUGUCUGUUCGUCAGCACUGGUCCAGGCUGUAUAUCAGUACUGGAUCAGAUCGAUGCUUUUCAAGAUGGCAGCCCCGCGUGGACUAUCUCAGUGACAUGUUUUGUUAAAGCAAAUCAUCUUAAUCUGACUAUUUAAGAGGAAUCUUGUUGGCUGUAUACACUAGGGCUAAAUCACUGGAUGUUAUUAUUGAGCCAAGCAUUGAAACAGAGCCAGAAGACCUUUCUGCAAUAAUCAUGACACUAGUGAAGACAAUGAGAAAUUAGGCGGUGAAUGUAUUAGUGAUCAUGAUGAUGUAGAUAUUGUACUGAGAGACUUAUGAAUGAUAGUCACAAGUGUGAAUUUUUGAUGCGGAAGAUUAUUCUGGAAAUAUUAGUAUAGCCACUAGUAUACAUUCUAUAGUUACCUUAUCUCACUAAGUUUCAAGACAAGAAUAUCUUAGCUCUUGUUAAGGUCA
rnacentral:lncRNA from 1 species